UAAAAUUCGCAUGUCUCCCAACCAAACAAAUCCCUCUAAACUUCUAAUCCCUCCUAAAAUCUCUUCCCAACCAAACGGGCCGUACGUCCCUACGCCUCGCCCUCACCCUUCCCCUCGCGCCCGCUCCCUCGCAGCGCCGUCGUAGGCGCCGGGCGCCGCCGCCUCCUCGCGCGCGCCCGCCGGAGAGCCAGUUUCGAGAGGACGGAGAGCCAGGCGCGACACGAGAGAGGCAGGGGUCGACAGCGGCUGGCUUGAAGCCCUCAGUUCCGCCCCUCCCCGGCGGUCCACAGAGGCCGGCCCCGACGGCCUCAGCUUUGCCCCUCCCCGGCACCACUCCUUCCCCUGUGCUCACCAAAUCUCCUUGCAGCGCGAAGCACCACCACGCCUCUGCAUUCAACAAUCCCUAGGACGUAUGCAAUGUGUUCGUUGAUUUGCCUAAGCCAGGUUGGCCAAACUGCGUAUUACGUUCUUCCGUGCAUAUUGGUUCAACCAUUGCUUCAUUGCCUUUAUGCUUGCUUUGCUAUCAACUUUUUAUUGCUCCGAUCUGACAUUCACAAUCCACAGAGGCUUGCUUCUGUUUGAUUUAAUGGCUCCGCUUGAUUAAGCCUCAGAAGUAUGCACUUUGUACCGUGAAAGUUGAGCACUUUGUUGUCAGAGGUUUCAUAUUAUAAGACUUUCUAUCAUUGUCCACAUUCAUAUAUAUGUUAAUGAAUCUAGAUAUAUAUGUAUGUCUAGAUUCAUUAACAUCUAUAUAAAUGUGGGCAAUGCUAAAAAGUUUUAUAAUCUGAAACGAAACGGAGGUAGUAUAAUAAUGGAGAUCAUCGUGUUCCUGGAAUUUGUAAGUGGGUCACGAAUUUCUCUCGUGAUGAGGUAAUCAUGCACUUCUUCCCCCUAUUAAUAUUUUUUAAUCAUUUCAGGAAUGUCAAAUAUUGGAAUCAAAAUUUCAGCCUUGGAACUUAGUGUCCCUCGUCCUAAUCAAUGGGCUAUCUUUAUUUUAGGAACAUAAGCUGUGUUUCAGUCAACAAGUAAAAUGGUCCACAUUGUUUGUUGCUGGUGCAGUCCCUAUGCACAAAGUUGGAUGAUAUCGUUUCACACUCCUUUUACUUAUGGUAGAAAUCCUAGCUAAACUUUUGCUACCUCCUGCCCAUGCAUACAUCUAUAUACUUCUAAUUUCCCCCCCUUUUUUUAAUGACACAGCAGGUGCUCACCAAACAAUUCAGAUUUAUCUAAAGCUCCAAAUAUAUUUUAAAAAACGAUGUCAUGCUGCCAAAGAUUUGUGGAUAUGUGAAAUGAGUUCUAUUUACUAAUGACGUAAUGUAUAAAUUUUAUAUAUCAGCAUAUAUUUUCUUGGCUUGUUCUUUUAUUUCUUUUUAUUUGGCUGAAAUUUGAUUGAAAGAUUUGAUGUGGCUAAAAAUGAGAAUUUCUAAGGCCAUGUUUGGUGUCUCAAGAAUUGAGUACUUGCAGCCAUGCCGAACAUCCCUCAUGCUAAUGUCUACCCAAGCUUUCAGAUUUUAAGGCCCUUGCCACAUUGAUCAAAAUAUUCAGUCCAGUGGAGGCUCUAAAUUUGCUUUAAAUCUAGAUGGUUUCCAGCGGUAAGGCCUUAAGGCAUCAUAUUCUUAUGGUUAGUGUUUCUAUGUGCCGAGCUUACUGAUGUCCAUGUUUGAACCAUUUUCAUCAUCAUUGUGGAUAUAUUAUUUAUUUGUAGUUUCACCAAAAGUGGAGUGUAGCUGUGGACUCUUGGAUUACAUUGAAUCUUGAAAAGGUACUACCUCCGUCACAAAAUAUAAGAAGCUUUGAGGUUGGACACGGUUAUUAAGAAAGUAUGCAAAAUUAAAUGGAUGGAGGUGUGAUUGGUUGAAGAGUGGAUGUAGGUGGGGAAAUUGAAUAAUGGAGGAUUGUAAUUGGUUGAGAAGAGAAUGUUGGUAAAGAAGUUGCUAUAUUUUGGGACAAAUUCUGAGUGCUAGAAUUUGUUAUAUUUUGGGAUGGGGGGAGUAUAUGCCAUUCCAAUUUCAGAUGAUGCAUUUUCCCUAAUUUGAGAUGUUGAACUUUUUCCAGCCUAAUAGAGGAACCCUUUCCUUCGGGGAAAUUCCAUGAAAGAUAUUAAUCUCCAGAUUUUAAGAUUGUUGGCUGCCACUUCAAUUCUAGGUCUUUGCAUGCUUUACAAUAUGGUCCUUUUGUAUUAGUAUUAUGAUAAAGGAAAAUAUAAAGGUGGUUUUAACUAAUUUUAGUGUUUGUAGAAUGGUCACAUUUGAUAUAUACUUUUGUACUUCAAUUAAGGCAACUAUGGAUGAUAUUUUUUGGAUAACUAUGUGAUGACCAUUUUUUGCAAGUGAAAGAGAUAUCAGCUUCUAGGUUUUGCAUAUCACAUUAACAAGUGAAAGAGAUAUUAGCUUUUGGGUUUUGCAGAUCACAUUAACUUAUAUUGGUCACACGGCAGGAGAUGUAUACAUCUCAUCGGUGAUCAUGUAAAUGCUAUUUUAAUUGCAGGCCAAGAGGGGCAUAUUUGAAGUAGUUGUUGCUGAAGAGAAGCUAAUUUAUGUACAUCGUGGAGACGUGGUCUUUUUUUCCAAUUAGAUACUGUAGGCAGUGAGCUUCACUACAAUGCCAUAUAGACAAAUAUCUUGCUUUGAGUUUUCGAGUGUUUAUCGAGCUACGGCAAAUUAUAUAUUCGGUAUUGUUAGCUGCUUUGUAUUUUUUUAGUGUUUUAAAAGGGUGCUUAAUGUAUAGUAUGUCAAAUAACAUUUAAGUAGAUAUAGUUAUUAAACUUUAUUGUGUUUGUAUA